rnacentral:rRNA from 1 species
UACAGAGGUCCCAAGCGUUAUUCGGAAUCACUGGGCCUAAAGGGCGCGUAGGCGGCUUUCUAAGUCAGGGGUGAAAUCCGGCAGCUCAACUGUCGCAGUGCCUUUGAUACUGGAGAGCUCGAGGGAGGUAGGGGUCUGUGGAACUUCCGGUGGAGCGGUGAAAUGCGUUGAUAUCGGAAGGAACGCCGGUGGCGAAAGCGACGGACUGGAUCUCUUCUGACGCUGAGGCGCGAAAGCCAGGGGAGCAAACGGG